ACUGAUUCCUUAUCUCCUCCCCAUCACUGUCUGCAGCAGUCGGGGGAGGAGGGGGAGGGAAGCCAGCUGGAAAUCCCAGCAUGCGUUUCAUGGAGUUUCCUGAGGAUUUGGGACUCAGCAGUGUGGGCAGGAGCCUUCAACACCUUCAGAGGACAUAAGUGUGAAAUCAGUGCCUGCCUGGUGCCCCAUCUUCUUUGUGCCCUAGAGAUGGUGCACAUGUUGCAGUACAUGAAAAAGAAGACAAGGCUGAUGGGAGGGAUAAUUACUUGUGGUACAAGCAUACAUGGCAUAAGGAAAAGGUAGGUGAAAAUGUAGUGUUCUUGCUUGAGAAUUUGAACUUGUUUUAUAUGUAGUGUAUCAAAAUCAAAAUUAUUAUAAUCCAGAAGGUAUUUUAGAUAUCUUUUCUUUGUUUGUUAUCUUCCUCUAUCCCUUCUCUCCUAACAAUGAGCUACCUUAGGGGCUCUGCAGUCCGGUGUAUUUUACCUGGGUGAAAAACAAAAAGGGACAAAUUUGGCUCCAUCACACUCACAUCUUCUCUAAGGACAGAUAAGACUCAUUUUUUUUGGAAGAAAAAUGUGUUUUUAACCCAAAUGAGGACACGUGGAAGUUGCCAUGUCCUGAGGAACCAGAGGAAUUUGGACCUUUGCCUUUGUUUAUCUCACUGACUUUUGCAAUGCUGACUGUGAAAACCAUGAGUGACAUUAGCUUUCCAUUAACUAUCACCUACGACCUAGUUUAGUAUUUGACUUUUGUGUUGCUUGUUACUUUAGUUCCAGGAACUAAUGACUCCCUGGAGGAACUUGAUCAAAGCAGGGACCAAAAGGGUCUUCUUGGGACACGCAGAUUUUGAUGAUGUGACUAAGCUGAAAAAUGUCUCAUUGGACAAACAGUGCUGCUGGGUUAAAAUGGACAGUGAACAUUUUAGGUAGGGAUCUAAGGGGAAUGAAAAGAAGCCUAAAAAACUUCAUGGCACCACUUCUGGGUGUACUCCCAGCCAUCCAUACCUAGUACCAGGUAUGACAGACAAGCUUCUAGUCUUGAGAAAUUUGCAGCAAAAUGUAGUUCAAGGGUCUCAGGCAGCAUAAUGUGUGUGCCCAGGGCACUUAACAUGCACCAUGACUCACUUGAUCAUCUGACCAAGGGAGCCCCCUGCAUGAGAAGAAGGUUACUGUACAUUUUCUGAUGCAAGCACAGAAAAAGCUCAAGACCAGCUAGGAAAAAAUGAUCUAAUUGAGAACUGUGUGAAUGGAAGAUCCCAGAGGGUCAUAAUCAAUGGUGCAGGGUCUGGUUGGAGGCCUGUCGC
rnacentral:lncRNA from 1 species